rnacentral:rRNA from 1 species
UACGGAGGGGGCUAGCGUUGUUCGGAAUUACUGGGCGUAAAGAGCGUGUAGGCGGCCAGGUAGGUCCGCUGUGAAAACUCGAGGCUCAACCUCGAGAUGUCGGCGGAAACCAUCUGGCUAGAGUCCGGAAGAGGAGAGUGGAAUUCCUGGUGUAGCGGUGAAAUGCGCAGAUAUCAGGAAGAACACCCGUGGCGAAGGCGGCUCUCUGGGACGGUACUGACGCUGAGACGCGAAAGCGUGGGGAGCGAACAGG